CCCACUCUAUCGCCUCCGAUCAAACAACCCCGAAUGCGCCCGAUCUCGUCAGAGCCGGGUUGAGCCUGGCUAGUCCUCGGAUGGGAGACUACCUGGGAAUUCCAGGUGUGUCUAGGU
rnacentral:rRNA from 1 species